GCUACGGGCGGCAGCAGUCGAGAAUCAUUCACAAUGGGGGAAACCCUGAUGGGGCGACGCCGCGUGGGGGAAUGAAGGUCUGCGGAUGGUAAACCCCUGUCAUGGGGGAGAAAAUUAAAAAGAUAGUACCACAAGAGGAAGAGACGGCUAACUCUGUGCCAGCAGCCGCGGUAAUACAGAGGGCUCAAGCGUUGUUCGGAAUCACUGGGCGUAAAGCGUGCGUAGGCUGUUUCGUAAGUCGUGUGUGAAAGGCGCGGGCUCAACCCGCGGACGGCACAUGAUACUGCGAGACUAGAGUACUUGAGGGGGAACCGGAAUUCUCGGUGUAGCCGUGAAAUGCGUAGAUAUCG
rnacentral:rRNA from 1 species